rnacentral:rRNA from 1 species
CCUACGGGCGGCUGCAGUGGGGAAUAUUGGACAAUGGGGGGAACCCUGAUCCAGCCAUGCCGCGUGUGUGAAGAAGGCCCUCGGGUUGUAAAGCACUUUCAGUGAGGAAGAACGCCUGGUGGUUAAUACCCAUCAGGAAAGACAUCACUCACAGAAGAAGCACCGGCUAACUCCGUGCCAGCAGCCGCGGUAAUACGGAGGGUGCGAGCGUUAAUCGGAAUUACUGGGCGUAAAGCGCGCGUAGGUGGCUUGAUAAGCCGGUUGUGAAAGCCCCGGGCUCAACCUGGGAACGGCAUCCGGAACUGUCAAGCUAGAGUACAGGAGAGGAAGGUAGAAUUCCCGGUGUAGCGGUGAAAUGCGUAGAGAUCGGGAGGAAUACCAGUGGCGAAGGCGGCCUUCUGGACUGACACUGACACUGAGGUGCGAAAGCGUGGGUAGCAAACAGGAUUAGAUACCCUUGUAGUC